AGCAGCCGCGGUAAUUCCAGCUCCAAUAGCGUAUAUUAAAGUUGUUGCAGUUAAAAAGCUCGUAGUUGAAUUUCGGGAUCAUCAGGUUGGUCGUGCCUCUGGUAUGUACUGAUUUCGAUGGUUCCUCCUUCUUGAAGAGCCGUAAUGCCAUUAAUUUGGUGUUGCGGGGAAUCAGGACUGUUACUUUGAAAAAAUUAGAGUGUUUAAAGCAGGCAAUCGCUUGAAUACAUUAGCAUGGAAUAAUGAGAUAGGACGUUCGAUCCUAUUUUGUUGGUUUCUAGGAUUGACGUAAUGAUUAAUAGGGAUAGUUGGGGGCAUUAGUAUUCAAUUGUCAGAGGUGAAAUUCUUGGAUUUAUUGAAGACUAACUACUGCGAAAGCAUUUGCCAAGGAUGUUUUCAUUAAUCAAGAACGAAAGUUAGGGGAUCGAAGACGAUCAGAUACCGUCGUAGUCUUAACCAUAAACUAUGCCGACUAGGGAUCGGAUGAUGUUAAUUUUUAAUGA
rnacentral:rRNA from 1 species